UACAGAGGUCGCAAGCGUUAAUCGGAUUUACUGGGCGUAAAGCGUGUGUAGGUGGUUGUACAAGUCGGUUGUGAAAUCCCCCGGGCUCAACCUGGGAACUGCUUCCGAGACUGUGCGACUAGAGAUCGGUAGAGGGCGGUGGAAUUUCCGGUGUAGCGGUGAAAUGCGUAGAUAUCGGAAGGAACACCAAUGGCGAAGGCAGCCGCCUGGGCCUGAUCUGACACUGAGACACGAAAGCGUGGGGAUCAAACAGG
rnacentral:rRNA from 1 species